GACGGAGGAGGCAAGCGGUAUCCGGAAUUAUUGGGCGUAAAGGGUACGUCGGCGGCUAGUCAAGUCUGGGGUCAAAGGCCACAGCUCAACUGUGGGAAGGCCCUGGAAACUGACCGGCUAGAGUGAGGUAGGGGUUGCGGGAAUUCCCGGUGUAGCGGUGAAAUGCGUAGAGAUCGGGAAGAACACCUGAGGCGGAAGCGCGCAACUGGGCCUCAACUGACGCUGAGGUACGAAAGCUAGGGGAGCGAACGGG
rnacentral:rRNA from 1 species